AAAAGACACAACGGCAGCCAGACAGAUGCCUCCUGUUUCAAAUGAAAAGAAGCCAUUUCCAGCAUAAAAGUAACAUGCAGAGUCAUUUGUGGCCAAAACACUUCAUCAUCAUCAUCAUCAUCAUCAUCAUCAUCAUCAUCAUCAUCAUCAUCACCACCAGCAGCAUCACCACCAUCAUCAACAUCAUAUCAACCUAUGGCCAGCCAAUCAGAGAGCACAGCCUCAUGUAGACGUGAUGUGACGUUGACAUUCUCUGGCAGUUCAUCCCCCAAGUUGUCAGUGGAAGAAUCAUCCAUCGUUUUCAUCAUCCCUUUGUUCGUCCAGAGAAGGACGAAGAGCUGCAGGCGGAGGAGAAAAGAAGGGGACGGGGUUUCAGGAGAAGAGGAGCUUGUCUGAACCCCCCCUCCCCAUCCUUCACCUCGUCCCUCCGUCCAUCCUUCUGUCCCGUCGGCCGUCUGGAGAAAAGCUAAUAACAGAGUGCUGAGGCUGUGCGGCGUCAUCCUCCUUGGUCCCACUUCAACAACAGAAAAGUCAGAAAAGGAGCAGAAGCAGCUGUAGGAAACACUUUACUCCAAAGAUACCAGAGGGGUGAGAGAGGCAGAUCUAACACCGGUGAGUCCAGCUUUCUCAGGAUGGAGCGCCGGCUCACUGCUGGUUAGAAGACACUUUGUGUUUGAGUUGAAGGACACUUUCGCUGCUUAACACGCCAUCCUGCUGGCUCGUGUCUUUGUUGCUUAAGCCGGACAUCCCCUUUCACCACUGAGAGGAGCUUCUGCUUGGACCUCACGGUGCCAAAGCCAUGCAGGGCUGAAAAGUAACAAAAGACGUGCUGCCUUCACGUUCACAUGCGAUGGCGGAAAAUCUUACAGCACUCGCUCAGUGACAAAGAGAUGGGUUUGAACUAAUAUCAAGAAUGCCAGGAGAUACAGAUUAAUGCAGCAAAACCUAGCAACCCCAUACUUAAUUUUAAUAAAACAUUGCAAGAAACAUUCCACAGUUGCAGGUCAUUUAGUCACACAGUUAUGAUUAAAAUCCUUUUUCUUCUAACAAGUGAAAAACUGCCAGUGGAUUGAGAUAAUCCCACUUGUUGCCAAUGCAGUUUCAUUUGGAAUGACCUACAAAGAUGGAUUUUUUUCUCUCUUUUUUUUGGGUCGUGUGUAUCAACUGAUUCUGCAAAUUUGAAUAUGCAAGUGUGGGUUUGCUGUUUUCCUGCUGUGUUAUUGUUACACUGUACUUAAUGCAUGCCAAUGAGUCACACAAGAGGCAAUUUUAUCUAAUCUCCAUAAUGAACUUUUUGCAGCGCACGGUGCUCGGGUAUGUACUGUGUAGGUGGUGCUGUGUGCACUUGUACACCUGGUAGUGAAGCAGAAGCCAAACAAGCUGCUCUCCUAUACGGCCACAUACCAGGAAGUAUCUCACUGACUGUGAUUUGCAUCGUAAUGGAUAAAUCAAGGUAUAAAGCAAUAUUUUGUUCACUGAUUCUUUUAGUUAGAAAAAACACACACACAUACACACACAGGAAGGAAAAUUCAACACAAAAAGGCAUAAAGACAUUUACAUGCAACACUAUGUGACAGCAGAGGCUGAACGCCCUUGCUCUGUUGGCAAUUUAGAAUGGAUUCAUUCAUGCAACUCAUUUUAACAGCAAGGUUGAAGACUUGCCUGCCCACAUGAAGUACCGUGCCGCACUCUUUUUUUCUUUUUUUAAAGUGAAUGUCACCGCUGAGUAACAAUAACACAUUACUGGAAUUUAAUUAGACUAUAAUAAGUUACAGUCAAAUAGUCAGAGAACACAUUGUACAAGAAAUGCAGCACAAUUGAAGGCAAGAUCAUGAAAGCAGGUUUUAAGCUAUUUUGAAAUGCUCCCUUAUUUUGAUUAUUUAUUUGAUAUUUGAUACUCAGAUAACCACAUGAUUAAAAAUUUCAGGGAGUUUACGCUGGCCCAUGGAGGGAUGAAGAGUUGGUAGCGAGCGUCCAGGGGCAAUGACAAAAAGCACAAAUCAUUCUUGAAAUGACAGAGCAGGUUGCAUUUUGGCAGGAUUUCUCAAAUGAAAACCAGCAAACAAACAAACCAAAAAACACAACAACCCAAAAACAUGACUGAGCUGGCUUUUUCAGGAUAUUGCAUGCAACUGGAAAGCGGGUCAAAAUGACACCCAAAUUCUUUGAAGCACACAUAAGAUUGGAGGCCAGUUGUUCAAGACGACUCUGAAUUUCCUGAGGGAUUUUUGUUUUUUUUACAGCUAAUUUCAGUUUCAUCAGAGUUACACUGAACUUCUACACUGGAGAAUGGUGGGAGAAAUUGAAUUUUUAAAGCCGUGAUAGUCAAAAUUGUGAAUUUCAUGAUCGUCAGUAGAGUCUAAAUAGUUCUUAUUUUCAUGAUUUCAAUUACUGGAGCUUUAAUAGCCCCAAGCAGAGUCGCAGUGGGACAUAUGGUGCAUAUACCCACCCCUGGGCAGGGAUUUUUU